UCCGCAGACACCGUUUAUUAUAGCAACGGGUAGCUGCACCACCCCGGGCCCCCCUCUUUCCAACCUUCCUCCCCAGCUCCUACUCCCCGUCCCCUGAGACCUAACUAGGAGCUCCUUGGCCCUCCCUGUUUACCUCUGCCCAAGACUUCAACUCUUCUGCCAGUUCCCAGGAGGAUGGCGUCCACACCUACCAGGAAUGAGGAGAAAAAGGGCAGCAAGAUGUCCCAGGCUGCAACCUCCUUGGGUGGAGGUCCGGCGAGCAUGGGGGUUUCAUUAUCCCGUUCUGAGGAAUUCCUGACCCAGAUCAGCACAGAACUUACCGAUGAGGCCUUGUUUACCGCUGGCUACCACAUGAACCCUGUGCCCACCAAGGAAAAACAGACGCAAGAGCAAGGGACUCAGAUAUCCAAACACGCCCGCCCUUGGACUGCUCAGCGCUCCCCCCCACAACUCACCCAGUACCCACUCCCCACUGCUGGCCAGGAAUCACCUCAGCACCUUCCUCCCUAACCACGUCUCUUUCUGGCUAUGGGGGUAGUAACUUCUCUGACUGAGGCUUCUACUUCCAGCGUUCUUCAAGACCCAAGGCACUGAUACCCGUUCUGACAGAAACCGUACCCGCACCAAGGCACACCUGCUGCCGUCCCCUCGUGACAAGAACGUGCAUCAGAGCUCCUCUUUCACAAGUCAUUAACACGUCACUUUGCUGGGGACUUCUGGUCAUGAGCAGUAUCACCAUCGAAGCCUCCUAGGUGUUCAGGAACCAUCACACACCUCUCUACCCUCAACUGGCAAGAACAUCACCAGAAAUCAAAGGCUUUAAUAAAAAGGCAGAGGUCCUUCCCUCCUCCCAACCCA